UGGGGAAUUUUGGACAAUGGGGGAAACCCUGAUCCAGCCAUCCCGCGUGUGCGAUGAAGGCCUUCGGGUUGUAAAGCACUUUUGGCAGGAAAGAAACGUCGCGGGUUAAUACCCCGCGAAACUGACGGUACCUGCAGAAUAAGCACCGGCUAACUACGUGCCAGCAGCCGCGGUAAUACGUAGGGUGCAAGCGUUAAUCGGAAUUACUGGGCGUAAAGCGUGCGCAGGCGGUUCGGAAAGAAAGAUGUGAAAUCCCCAGAGCUUAACUUUGGAACUGCAUUUUUAACUACCGGGCUAGAGUGUGUCAGAGGGAGGUGGAAUUCCGCGUGUAGCAGUGAAAUGCGUAGAUAUGCGGAGGAACACCGAUGGCGAAGGCAGCCUCCUGGGAUAACACUGACGCUCAUGCACGAAGGCGUGGGGAGCAAACAGGAUUAGAUACCCUGGUAGUCCACGCCCUAAAACGAUGUCAACUAGCUGUUGGGGCCUUCGGGCCUUGGUAGCGCAGCUAACGCGUGAAGUUGACCGCCU
rnacentral:rRNA from 1 species